UACAGAGGGGGCUAGCGUUGUUCGGAAUUACUGGGCGUAAAGGGCGCGUAGGUGGCCUGUUAAGUCGAACGUGAAAUCCCCGGGCUCAACCCGGGAACUGCGUCCGAGACUGGCAGGCUCGAAUCCGGGAGAGGGAUGUGGAAUUCCAGGUGUAGCGGUGAAAUGCGUAGAUAUCUGGAGGAACACCGGUGGCGAAGGCGGCGUUCUGGACUGCAACUGACACUGAGGAACGAAAGCCAGGGGAGCAAACGGG
rnacentral:rRNA from 1 species